UCCCCGGGCAAACGGAGAAGGUCGUCCUCCACCGCUAGUUUCCUCGCUCGUGUUUCGGGUUUCUCCUCCGAGACGAAGCUCGAUCGUCCGAAGCCAUCUCCUCCAAGAUCCCUCGAAAAUGGCGACCAAGCCAAUCAUCAACCUCAACGAGAAAAUCCCCUCCGACGGAGAAGAGCCGGAGAGCCCCGCGCGAACCCUAGGCCCCGUCGACCCGUCCCCGACCUCGGAGGACCGCCGGCGGGCCUCUCCCUCGGCGGCCGAUCGGGAUUCAGGGGAACCGCGCGGGGGAGGCGAGGAAGGAGGAGGAGCGGCGAAGGGCACGACCGCGACGGUCGUCUCGAGCGGCACCGGUCCCGUGAACGACAUCUACCGGAGGAUCCGACGCGCCGAGCGGUUCGGGAUGCCGGUUCAGCUGUCCGAGGAAGAGAAGAGGUAUACUCGUGCGGAGAGGUUUGGCACUGGAUCUGUUUUGAACAAGUCAGAAGCUCGUGGUGAAUCAGAGGUGCUGAAGAGAAAAGCUAGAGCAGAGAGGUUUGGUACUUCGGUUUCAUCACUGAUCUUGGAUGAGGAGGCAAAAAAGAAAGCUCGGCUUGCUAAAUUUGGGUCGGGUUCCAAAACUGAUGCUCAUGAAGAAGAUAAGAGGAAAGCAAGAGCAAUCAGGUUCUCUAAUCUUCCAUCAAGUUCCCUGUCCCAAGUGAAUGGCAAGGCAGUGAUUGCAGGCAAGGCCACUGGAGGAGCAUGAGGAAAGACGACAGCAGCAACCCUUUUUGUGUAUACUUUUCCUUUUUUGUGAGUAAGUUUGCAAACUUAGUUGCACCUGACAUUUGAAGUGGCGCCCAGUUUUUCUAACAAAUUCAAGAUCCAAUAUUCCCUUAUCCUCAAAACGGCUAUAGUGCAGCGGCAUAGCAAGGUUUCUGCAGGGUGAAAGGAAGUUCCUUUUUUUUCUUAAGUCGCAAUCGUUUUACCCACUUACCCAUUGAGGCCAGUGGAAUCACAAAGCUCCCCCUCAGUGUCAACUUAUCGCCCAUUCUUAAAAUAUCAGAAAUUCCCAUUUACAUGCACAUUAACUUUCGUCUUGAAGGUUUUUCUAUAGACUGGCACCAGUGAAAAAUAUGCUGUUAUAAAUGCUUUCUUUCAAAAUCUAAAGACCAGCUUCUUCUACUCACAAAGUGGUACACGGAUGGGUAGCCUCUCAUAUCCAAGCUUAGUAUGGCAUUAAGUGUGAAGCUUCAGUGUCGACUAAUUUCUUUUAUCUCAUGGAAUUGCCAUUUUUCUCCUGUAUUGAGGCACUUUUUGGCACUCUUAGAAGUAAUGCACAUUUGCUAAAGCCAGUGGUGAUAGUUAAGGCAUUCGUGGCUGCCUCGAAGCAUGUAAAAGUCCUUAAAAGUUCAAUUAGAUAAUGGGUCUGGAUUCAGUGUCUUUUGGAUUUUCAGUGUUUUCAUUCUCAUGCUCAUGUUUGCAUAGCCUUGAUCAUUUGGAGAUGCUCCAAUCUUUAGAUCAUGAUGCAAGCAGCUGAUGAGAUUUGGUUCAUGGUUCACCUUUCCUAGCUAAUUGGAUUGCACUAGCUAUAGCUUUGUUUUUUCACCCGAAGAUGCAGACGCUCAUUUAUGGUGCUUUGUGAAUGAUACAUUUCAUACUUAGAUGCUGUCUAGAACAUUUUUUCAAUCUUGAGGUCUCGGGGCAUAAUCGAAACGUGCUUGUGCAUUAUUGUCAUGAAAAUCUCAAGAUGCAUGUCCACUCAAUUUUAUUUUUUGGCGAAGCUUGUUCAUCUAUAUUUGUUGGAAGUCCUGAUCUGCUGUCAUUGGAUAAUGAGAGGCACAUCCAGCGUGAGUGGAAUAAGCUGAAGGCAGAGCCGACAAGUGACUUUUGUCCUUUGGUCUCAGUCGUUUACGAGGUUUUUCAUGUUUCCUGAUUUUGUGACAUUUCAUAAUGGUUAAUUCAGAUAAGUUGGCAGUUGGGAGGAUUUUGUUGAUACUGCAGGUCUUGAUGGGUAAUUUGCAGAUUCAGCCAGGUAAGAUUUGGGCAAUAGGAUGGCGCUCGGUUUCGGUUUCGCCAUGUAGGUUUUACUUUGGGGCAGUGUGUCUUGUGGUGUAUAACUUGAAAAAGAUCAUUGUCGUGUAUAGCUAGCGGUACUGAACUUUUAAUUUUAGAUGUAUUGUGGGAUGGAAACUAAUGUGCAUUUUGUUAGAGUUCUGAUGGAAA